GGGUUGUGAGGUUAAGCGACUAAGCGUACACGGUGGAUGCCCUGGCAGUCAGAGGCGAUGAAGGACGUGCUAAUCUGCGAUAAGCGUCGGUAAGGUGAUAUGAACCGUUAUAACCGGCGAUUUCCGAAUGGGGAAACCCAGUGUGAUUCGUCACACUAUCAUUAACUGAAUCCAUAGGUUAAUGAGGCGAACCGGGGGAACUGAAACAUCUAAGUACCCCGAGGAAAAGAAAUCAACCGAGAUUCCCCCAGUAGCGGCGAGCGAACGGGGAGCAGCCCAGAGCCUGAAUCAGUGUGUGUGUUAGUGGAAGCGUCUGGAAAGGCGCGCGAUACA
rnacentral:rRNA from 2 species